ACGGAGGAUGCGAGCGUUAUCCGGAUUUAUUGGGUUUAAAGGGUGCGUAGGCGGAUCAAUAAGUCAGUGGUGAAAACCUUCAGCUUAACUGGAGACUUGCCAUUGAUACUGUUAGUCUUGAGUAUGGUUAAGGUAGGCGGAAUGUGUAAUGUAGCGGUGAAAUGCUUAGAUAUUACACAGAACACCAAUUGCGAAGGCAGCUUACUGAGCCAUAACUGACGCUGAUGCACGAAAGCGUGGGGAGCGAACAGGAUUAGAUACCCUGGUAGUCCACGCCGUAAACGAUGAUCACUCGCUGUUGGCGAUACACAGUCAGCGGCUAAGCAAAAGCAUUAAGUGAUCCACCUGGGGAGUACGGCCGCAAGGCUG
rnacentral:rRNA from 1 species